GGGCUAUAAAUCAAGAGGAAAUCCACUGUCUUCAAGUUCAUGAUGUGAAAGAGCCGGUGCUUGAGUUGAUAGCUAACACUCAUUUUGCAUGCUUCACAUCUCAAUCAACAGGAGUCAAGGUUUAUAAUUGGUCAGGGGUUCCCAAGCAUAUAAACUUCCAAAAAUAUGUCAAGUGCCUUGCCAUUAUGGGUGAUAAGCUUUAUUGUGGAUGCACCGGUUAUAGUAUUCAGGAAGUUGAUUUAAGCACUCAAACAUCAACAACAUUUUAUGCUGGUGCCAAGAAGUUGUUGGGAAAACAGAAUAUCUAUUCCCUCCAAGUACAAAAGAACGUUGUAUUCGCUGGUGGUUCAUUAGUUGAUGGAAUGUCAGGAAAGGUAUUUACUCUCCCUAGCAAGGCCGUCAUUGGAACACUUACAACCGGUUCAGACAUCCAACGACUAGCAGUAAACAACGAUUUGAUAUUUUCCGCGACAAAAUCAGGCAACAUAGAGGUAUGGUUGCAAGAAAGAGUAACAAAGAUGACUUGUAUUAAGAUGAAAAGUGGUGGACAGAGUAAAAUAACAUCUUUAGCUGUGGAUAAAGAUGGAGAAAUGAUAUUUGCUGGUUCUAUUGAUGGAAAAAUUCAGGUUUGGCGUUUGGAUUAAAAAAAGGAAAAAUUGCUUGGAAUUGGAAAUGUGACAAUUUUUUAAUACUUCAUGUUACAUUUUUAAUAUUCUAUGUCAUAUUUCAUGAACCAUAAU
rnacentral:misc_RNA from 1 species